rnacentral:lncRNA from 1 species
GGAUUCUGCACGGAAAGAAGGGUACACAGCUGGAGAUUGUUUAGAGACAAUUAAGACUUAUUGGCUUUUCAGCUGGUGAUAAAGGCAGAGAGCUCGGAGACUCUUGGCAUCUUGAAAUUGUUACCCAGAGGGCAGAGAUUUAAGUUGUUACCACUAAUGACAUUCCGAGUUAAGUUGUGUGGGCACAGAUGGUAGCGACAAUCCAACACUUUGGACUCAGGAAGCACGAAAAGGUCAGGCACUGGAGGGGGCUCUGGAGGCUUCAGCUACAGGGUCGGAGUUUAUAGGUGGAGGGGUCCACACAGCCUCACAGCGUGCGGAAAGCAACCAGGCAUCUCUGGAGCACUGAGGUGAACGUAGACGUGAGUGAGAGGCUGGUGGACAAAAGGAGGACCGCGAGUGGGACAGAGGUGAUCCUGGAUAACUGAAGACUGGAAGUGAGUGAGGUACCAUGACUUGGCAAGAUUUUGCAAAGAUAGGGACUUGUGGGUGACGCAAAUUUUAACCAUGUAAAGAUAUUGUUGAUCUUAAACAAAUAAUCAGCUAGUUAUUUGUCCAGCAAAAGAGAAGGUUUAUUACGGAUCAGCAGAGAAUUGCAAUUCAGGGUCUGUAACCAUGACAAGCUACGAGCAAGUCCC